AGGUGCGAUCAUACCAGCACUAAUGCACCGGAUCCCAUCAGAACUCCGCACUGAAGCGUGCUUGGGAGAGAAUAGUACUAGGAUGGGUGACCUCCUGGAAAGUCCUCGUGUUGCACGUC
rnacentral:rRNA from 2 species